rnacentral:rRNA from 1 species
UUUUGGACAAUGGGCGCAAGCCUGAUCCAGCCAUUCCGCGUGAGUGAAGAAGGCCUUCGGGUUGUAAAGCUCUUUCGCAAGGGAAGAAAGAUUACUCUCUAAUAUAGAGUGAUUAUGACGGUACCUUGAUAAGAAGCACCGGCUAACUACGUGCCAGCAGCCGCGGUAAUACGUAGGGUGCGAGCGUUAAUCGGAAUUACUGGGCGUAAAGCGUGCGCAGGCGGUUUUGUAAGUCAGAUGUGAAAUCCCCGAGCUCAACUUGGGAACUGCGUUUGAAACUACAAGACUAGAAUAGGUCAGAGGGGGGUAGAAUUCCACGUGUAGCAGUGAAAUGCGUAGAGAUGUGGAGGAAUAUCAAUGGCGAAGGCAGCCCCCUGGGAGACAAUAUUGACGCUCAUGCACGAGG